UGAGGGGCUGUACAUGGAGCUGUGUGCAAGGUGGGGGCUGCACGUGCGGGCUUGGGGACUGCGUGCACCAGGGGCUGCAGGCGCUGGGGAGGGUGUGGGGGGCUGUGCGUGGGGCUGCCCUCACCAAAGGCUGCACGCUCAGGGAAGCGUGGAGGCGGGGGUGCCGCGUGCACUGGGGAGCACGUGAGGGGACAUGCAGGGACUGCCCGUGUGAACGGCUUCAACCGCAUGCCCCCCACCCCACAGUCGCCAAGAAGACUGGGAGGUCCGCAUCGGCGGUGGGUACAAGUCAUUCAGGCUGCGAGGCGAGUCAGGCCUUUCCAGACCUCGCCGGACUGGGCUGGGCUGCGCCGGAAAUUGACCGGAACAGGGACUAUGAGAAAAUAGUUGAGCAAUCGAGGAGUCAGCUGAAAAGCGGAGGCUCAAGAGCCAUUUCAAGCUGGGCUGCACCAGAAAUUGAUUGGAAUAGGGACUAUGAGAAAAUAGUCGGGCAAAGGAGGAGUAAGCUCAAAAGUGGAGUCUCAAAGCCAUUUCAACCUUCCCGCCCCAGCCAGUCGAAGCAGUGGCGCGGGGCCUCCCAAGCCCAGGAGCCGGAGAUGGAGGAGGUGGUGGAAGAGUUGGGGCUGCCUUUGCAGCUUUCCACCCUAGGCGGAGGGAACCUGCCAGGGGGCGUGCGGAGGUCCGCAAUCUGAGACCGCGAAAUGGCUUACAGCUGGACGUGAUUGCCAAGACCCUUCUGG
rnacentral:lncRNA from 1 species